AUGGACAGUGGAGACGAGUUUUUCUUCCAUCACUUCCUUUGUGAGAAGAGAAAAAGAUUUGCCCAAAUGCAAGAGAGUGUUAGAAAGGAUGUGGAACGUGCUUUUGGUGUGCUUCAAUCCCGGUGGGGUAUCGUUCGAAACCCUGCACUGUCAUGGGAUGAAAGAAAGCUUUGGGAGGUGAUGACUGCUUGUGUGAUCAUGCACAACAUGAUCGUCGAGGAUGAGCGUGAUGAGAGUAUCUUCGACCAAGGAUUUGAUUAUCAAGGUGAAAAUAUUGAGCCCUUGCACCAAGACCCGGCCACAUUUGAACAGUUUGUCCAAUUUCACCGUGAGAUGCGUGAUUGGCACACUCAUUUGAAUCUUCAAAAUGAUUUGGUUGAGCACGUCUGGGAUCACAUUGGCAACCAAUAG
rnacentral:rRNA from 1 species